rnacentral:lncRNA from 1 species
AUUUUUAUUACCAUAGAAUUUACAAUUCAUAUAUUUAUAAAUUAUGGAAUUUCUUAAAUUUGUCUUUAAUAAACGUAUAAGUUGUCAAAUGAUUUAUGAAAUAAGCGUGAAUAUAAGACAUAUCGCGAUAAAAAAAUUCAUUCUAUCAAUAUCUGUCACUCCUUUACCGAUAUCAAACACGUCAAGUUCCGUUUGGCAAGAUAUAUUUCUCACUCUAGUCUUUUCUGUUGUGGUACUCUUACUGAUAUCUCGCGUUGUGGCACUGUAUUAGUUCUCAUAAGAUGCGAAAGCGAUUGGUGUUCAGAUACCUGGCAUAUUAUACUCGGUUGUACCCUUAAAAAAAUAACAUAAACAAUAAAUAAUAAUAAAAAAUAUAGUAUUUAUAAGUUUCAAAUAAGCUUAACUAAUUAAAAUUAUUAGCUUUUGCACAUGAACUUUUUUUCUAUUAUUUCUAAUAGUUGAAAAUACUAAUUUUCAGAAUACAGGCAUCACCUGGAGUUAUGUCACGUUAGGUAAUGGACUAAAGUGACCAGAUGUCUUUAUGUGAGACUGUCCUGGAUUUGAAUUUCUAGUCCUGUAACGAAAACUGUCCCGGAUUGGACAUGCAACUUUUUUAACAUUUUCGCAAUGGCACAAAGUUGCUGUUUCUUCUACUACAUAUUAGAUUACGCUAUCGUUGUUAACUGGCAAC